CUGAUAGUCCUUGAAAAUGAAGUUCUCUGUUAAUUCAUGGAAAGCUAGUACAACAAGAGCAGCAGGGACUUUUCUUGAUCCAUACCUAUGCCCCAGCCCUUACCUAGAGAGCGCAUUUCUGUGAUCAAAGAAAGAAGUUUCUGUGCCAAGUUAGUCCUUGGCCCCU
ensembl:misc_RNA